GAGUUUGAUCCUGGCUCAGAUUGAACGCUGGCGGCAGGCCUAACACAUGCAAGUCGAACGGUAACAUUUCUAGCUUGCUAGAAGAUGACGAGUGGCGGACGGGUGAGUAAUGCUUGGGAACUUGCCUUUGCGAGGGGGAUAACAGUUGGAAACGACUGCUAAUACCGCAUAAUGUCUUCGGACCAAACGGGGCUUCGGCUCCGGCGCAAAGAGAGGCCCAAGUGAGAUUAGCUAGUUGGUAAGGUAACGGCUUACCAAGGCGACGAUCUCUAGCUGUUCUGAGAGGAAGAUCAGCCACACUGGGACUGAGACACGGCCCAGACUCCUACGGGAGGCAGCAGUGGGGAAUAUUGCACAAUGGGGGAAACCCUGAUGCAGCCAUGCCGCGUGUGUGAAGAAGGCCUUCGGGUUGUAAAGCACUUUCAGUUGUGAGGAAAAGUUAGUAGUUAAUACCUGCUAGCCGUGACGUUAAUAACAGAAGAAGCACCGGCUAACUCCGUGCCAGCAGCCGCGGUAAUACGGAGGGUGCGAGCGUUAAUCGGAAUUACUGGGCGUAAAGCGCACGCAGGCGGUUUGUUAAGCUAGAUGUGAAAGCCCCGGGCUCAACCUGGGAUGGUCAUUUAGAACUGGCAGACUAGAGUCUUGGAGAGGGGAGUGGAAUUCCAGGUGUAGCGGUGAAAUGCGUAGAUAUCUGGAGGAACAUCAGUGGCGAAGGCGACUCCCUGGCCAAAGACUGACGCUCAUGUGCGAAAGUGUGGGUAGCGAACAGGAUUAGAUACCCUGGUAGUCCACACCGUAAACGCUGUCUACUAGCUGUGUGUGCCUUUAAGGCGUGCGUAGCGAAGCUAACGCGCUAAGUAGACCGCCUGGGGAGUACGGCCGCAAGGUUAAAACUCAAAUGAAUUGACGGGGGCCCGCACAAGCGGUGGAGCAUGUGGUUUAAUUCGAUGCAACGCGAAGAACCUUACCUACACUUGACAUGCAGAGAACUUUCUAGAGAUAGAUUGGUGCCUUCGGGAACUCUGACACAGGUGCUGCAUGGCUGUCGUCAGCUCGUGUCGUGAGAUGUUGGGU
rnacentral:rRNA from 1 species